AGUUGGUUACAAGGGGAGCAGCCGCCCAGGGGACGCCCCACAGCUCCCGGCAGAGGCCUCGGUGUCCUUUGCGGUUUUCCUGCCGUGCUCCGACUGGAGUCAAGGCAGCGGGAACAGGCGGAGCCGUGAGAGCGCCGCCGAGCGGCCCCACCGGGUGGUCGCGGCCAUAACAGCGGCUCCUCACCGGCUCACCUUCCACGCCCCUGCCGCCGGAGAUGAGGAAUAUAGAAGACUUAGAUCACUAUGAGAUGAAAGAAGAGCCUAUGAGUGGGAAACAGGUGGAGGAUGAAGGAACUGAAAAA